CCCGGACCGGGGUACGAACCUGUGUCCUCUGCAUCGGCAGGUGGACUCUCAACCACUGCGCCACCAGGGAAGCCCGAGAGACUAUUCUUAAUUUCUUGUCAUAGAUGAGGAAACUGAGGUUUUAGGGUUUAAGGGAUUUGCCCAGGAUCAUGCAGCUAGGAAGUGGUACUUAGAAUCUGUAUACAGCUCUUUAUGACACAAGGAGAAGCGAGUUCUUUUCCUACCGUAAGUGGAAAGCUUUCCUGAGAGGCCACAGCACUGCCAAAUGGCCUUUGCAGUCUCUGGGUACAUCUUGCAUUGAUACUUGGCAGAAACCGUGGAAACCAAAGGUGAGCAGUGUGGCCAGAGCCCGGCUGGGGUCUCUAGUUCUCCCUCCUUGUGGGCUGCUGGGCAAGAAGGACACACAUCAGGCUUCAUUUGUUCUUUGCACCACAAUGCAGCCCCAGUGCCUAUAGUGCAGAAGGCAGUUAAUUUUCCCAAUAUUCUCUAAUUUUUGGCAUGGACUGAAUGCAGCCAGAGAGACUAAGCCAGGAUUGUAUCAAGGACUUCUGCCUGUGUCUGUGCGGAGGGAUGUGCAGUUGCCAUAGCAGCAAUCAAUCUGCUAAAUAACUGGUAGCAUAAACUGAUUCAAAGGCAAAAAGACUGAUUUGGGUCAGGGAAUCACACUCUAUAAAAAACAGCGUCUCUGUGACUUCUGAGGGUAUUUUCGCCUUUAUGGUUGGCCCUGGAAAUGCACACUGAGUGAAUGCUCAGAGGCAACAGGGGUGUGUGUGCCUCAAGAGAUGAGCACUGUGCUGCUUCUGGGUAGUUAGAAUAGGGAAUUCCGUGGAACGUGCUGUAAAAUUGCUCUUCUGCUGCAUGGCAAUUCCCAGAGGCUUAGGACCAGUAACUAGCAAAAAGAUCAUGGUAUCCAGUUACUGAGUUCUCCCCAUGUCCUGGGAUGCUUCUCAGUGCGUUUCAGGCAUUUGGUCAACAGUCUUGCAAAGUGGGCUUUAUCACCACCCAUCCACACUUGUGGACACCGUUGUUAAUAUGCCCAGACUUGGGGAACCAGCCAGGGGCGGUGGAUUCAGGAUUCAAUCUGAGAUGUGCUUGAUGCAGCUGCUAGGCCCUCUCCACCCUGCCACACAGCUUCUCUUCCUUGGACUUUUCUCAAAAGUAAAGGACAUUUCUUCUUGGCCACUCACAUAGCAAGAUUGCAGUGUUCUGAUUAUGCUUUGUAUAUUGUGAAAUGUUUGCUAAUUAUUUUUUUUCUUUUUUUUUGGUGAUACGUGGGCCUCUCACCGCUGUGGCCUCUUCUGUUGCGGAGCACAGGCUCCGGACGCGCAGGCUCAGUGGCCAUGGCUCACGGGCCCAGCCGCCCCACGGCAUGUGGGAUCUUCCCGGACCGGGGCACGAACCCGUGUCCCCUGCAUCGGUAGGCGGACUCUCAACCACUGUGCCACCAGGGAAGCCCUACUAAUUAUUUUUAAUCCCACAUGAAAACUAAGUCUUAGGGCAAGAGGACUUGGUAUUCCCAGAGCUAGCGCUGCCCAGUUUGGGUGAUUCAGGUUGUCAUACUGAAGGGAAAAAAAGAGGCUAUUUUUUCUUUUACUCUGGUUUUUAGAACAGUACCAGGUAUCCUCCUAUCUCCAUUUUGGUGUAGCCUAGCUCCUGGGUAAACCUGGGCUAGGAGAAAGCAUUUCUGAACCAUAGUAAGAGGUGGCAUGUUAUAAAGCAGAAAGCAGUGGCUUGAUGUCUGUGUUGAGUUACGGGCUCUUCCACUUUCUAGCUGUGUGAUCUUGGGCAUUGUACUUCUAUUCUUUCAGCCUAGUCUCCACUCUGUAAAAAGGGGAUGAUAGUGAUGGUGAUACCACCUAACUCUCAGUUUCCUAGAAAGCUCUUUGGAGUGAGACAGAGGUAAAAAUUGCCACACAACCUUUAGGAGUAAAGAUGCCUGCGGAUUCCUUUGCAUCAAGGAGUCUAUUCCCUCAUCCAUGAAUCCCAAUUUUUAAUUUUUGUUCUUUUGCUUAGUGGCUCUGAAUUCAAUGUUUGUAGCAUGAAUAAAGUCUAGGAAAGCACUUCAGAGAGUGCCUGUCACAUGGUUAUGGUUUAAUAAAUAUUAGUUUCUUAUUUAAACAAAGCUUAAAAAUUAUUCGAUCAUCCUUCACCUUUAGAUCUAGUUUGUAGGUGCUAGUUAGACUUGGUACUCCAGAGGAAUUUGAGCCCUGGGAGCCCAGAGGAAGGAGAUUAAGCCUUGCCUUUGUGUUUUCUGUUCCCUGUUUCUGACUCCGUGACUGAAAGUCCAGAGGUGAGCCGAGCACUGUGAACUGAAUUCCCGUCUGGAAGUCUCACCUUUCCAGGGUCCGCUGCCACAGAGCUGGCUCAGGAAACUCUGGAAAUGAACUUUAUGCGGUGUGCAAUUUGACUCUGCCGUGCCAGCUGGAAUACACCUUUAGGAGCUGAGUAGCACUGUGCUAGGUACUGAAGACACGGUGGUGGACAAGACAGAGCACCUGCCCGCGUGAAGCUUACAUCCUAGUGCUGGAAGGCAAUGAAAAGGUUUAAAGUGGCGGAUCCUGUCUUAAGACUAGUGACCCCAAGAUAAAAAUUCAGGAGGAAGAAUGGAGAUGACAAGUGGAAAUGGAAGCGGUGUGGGAUGAGACCUGACAUGCCACUACUUGGAGAGUUCUGUUUAAUAACCAAAGAGGGCGCCAAACGUGUAUUGCACCGAGUGACCUGCAGUGCCAGGAUCUCCUGUAGACCUUGGGAUGGUCUUCACCUUGCAGACAGCAGAACCUGGGACUUCUUGGCCUCCAUAAUCACGUGAGCCAAUUCCUAACAGCAGUGAGAAGAGAAGCCUGAGAAGAUGCUCCUGGCCUGAGGCAUUCUCUGUGUUGUGAUAUUUUCCUGUUUCUGUGAUGGCCUCAGUGUAUGAGCAUAUUGACUGAGGACCUUCAUAUGUUGAAAAGGUCAUGUCCCAGGAGAAAGGAAACGAGCCCCAAUGCUCUGCCUUAUCACUUCGAGGAAGAGAUGGCCAGAGAGAAUGAACCUCCUAUUCCUAUCCUGGGGCCUGCUAACCCUGAGAAACCACCUCCUUGGAAAGUGUUCUGGACUUCCUCAGUUUCUCCAAUGCAAACGAAUACUCACCAGUGCCACAGAGACAUAU